rnacentral:rRNA from 1 species
UACGGAGGAUCCGAGCGUUAUCCGGAUUUAUUGGGUUUAAAGGGUGCGUAGGCGGCCUGUUAAGUCAGGGGUGAAAGACGGUAGCUCAACUAUCGCAGUGCCCUUGAUACUGAUGGGCUUGAAUGUACUAGAGGUAGGCGGAAUGUGACAAGUAGCGGUGAAAUGCAUAGAUAUGUCACAGAACACCAAUUGCGAAGGCAGCUUACUAUGGUAUAAUUGACGCUGAGGCACGAAAGCGUGGGGAUCAAACAGG